UACGGAGGGGGCAAGCGUUGUUCGGAAUUACUGGGCGUAAAGGGCGCGCAGGCGGCUGCUCAAGUCAGGCGUGAAAGGCCUGGGCUCAACCCGGGAAUUGCGCUUGAGACUGGGCUGGCUUGAGUGCGGGAGAGGAUGGUGGAAUUCCCAGUGUAGAGGUGAAAUUCGUAGAUAUUGGGAAGAACACCGGUGGCGAAGGCGGCUCACUGGCUCGUUUCUGACGCUCAGGCGCGAUAGCGUGGGGAUCAAACAGG
rnacentral:rRNA from 1 species